ensembl:antisense Ube4bos1 ubiquitination factor E4B, opposite strand 1
CUCUGAAACCCACCUGUGUAGAACUUCAUGAGGGACGGCACCAGCAAUUUGGUAGAGAGAGGAUGGUUCUCAAUCAUCUCAAAGAACUUCUGAGUUCUCGGCUGGACAGAAGGGUUGGUCAUAAACAUGACCUCCACCAGCUUGGCCACUAGCAUCAACAGUUCUGUGCUACUCUCAAGCAAAACAUUUGUCUGCUAGGCUGCGACAUCUCAGAGGGCCUGCCAGAGGAGACACACACAGGGGCCACAUCGUGCUAAGUGGAUGUUGAGCUUCUUACAGACCCCUUAGUCACAACAAUGGAAUACAAGGGAGGCUACAGAUCUGAAAGAAGAGCUCUGGUUAUUCUGCAUCCUGACGUUCGGAGCCACGAGGAUGAGAGGGCCAGGCCCACGUCACUCACAGAGUUCUGUCAGCCACUCAUUCACAUCCUCCAUCGUUGCAUUUAUCCGUGUCUCAUCAUUCGGGAGAGUGAUCCGACAUCUCGGGUGGAAUAUGUAAGUGGGGUCAACUGUUUCUAACUUGAUUUUUGUACUUAGCUGCUGCAGGACCCAAAGGAGAUUCAGCAUAAACCCGUCUGUAGACACCAACCGAUCAUCUGCCUGUGACAUAAGACGUGAAGCAAUUGAAACAAUUGUUAGGCACACAUUUCACAAAUCUAUGAAAGCACAUUCAAAUGUAACCAGGCCCUAAAGCCAGUGACAGGACAUGUGGCUACCACUGUCAAUCAGCUAGCAGGUGCCAGCCCAGCAAGGUUCUACCUAUCCAUCAUCACAGACUCACUGACCUCUGUAAUAACCCAUAGUCCAUACACUAUAAUUCACAUUUUAGAGAAGAACUUCAUGUCAGUAAGUAAAACACAGCAACUGUAGCUUCCUUUUUCUUUCUUAUUUCUCAAGAACAAUGAGCUGUCCUUCGCCCCCAUGGCAGCUUUCCCAUCUUACACAGUGAGCACAGCCCUGUCUGAAUGACAGAGGUUCAGGGAUCACGACACACUCAGAACGAUUCUAAUGGUCUACACGUAAAAGACUCACAAAUUAGCGGUCACUCUUAAACCCACUUAGCAAAUGAAGAAACUGAGGCACAGAGAAGUAACUAUCAGAUAUGGCCAACUUACAGACUACAUGUGGCAAAAGCCAGCUGUAAAUGUGGCCCAAUGUAAAACUAUAGACUUACACAGAACAUGAUGGGAUUUUUGCACAUGACCUCUUCUGACUGUGUAUUCUUGGCUGUUGAGUUAUGGGUGACACUACCAUGUGACUAUGUCAACAGAUGACAUACCAGAAUACUAUUGAGUUUCAAAAGACACUGGGAUUUUGCCAUUCUCCAUACUUUUAUUCUUUUGCUUCCAAGAUCUUAUUACUCUAAACAGCCUACAGUUUUAAUUUUCCCACUGUUACCAUGGACACCGGCGUCCUCAAGACUCUUGGUGCUUCGUCAGGUGCUUCCCACCCCACACCUUGUCAUUCUGUGGCCCACACACGGUUCCUGCCGUGGAUUCUACUAGAGUCCUCGUCGGUAAAAUAGACUCAAGAGCAUGGUUUCUUUUGUUACCUGCCCAUGGCCUCCGAGUCAAAGGAACUGUGUGUGCUGGGCUUGCAAUAACGCUGGCUCAUUUCUCACCUAACACACGAUCACCAGGAGGGCUCUUUUCUCAGCCUUGUAAGGAGCCGCUCUUCAGUCGAUGCUGAAGGCUGCUCUGCUGCCUGAUCAACAGCCACCCCUGUGCUGCCAUUCUGGCAUCUUACAAGUAUGCCUGAAUCCUUCACACUUCCAUCAGCGACUACUACUGCCUGGAUGCUGUGCUUGCCCGUCUUGUUCUGUGCUGCCUUCCCAACCCCCAGAACGCAGCCUGAGAGGUGCAAAGUCACAUCUGCACUGGAGAAACAGCUUUAAUGAGUAACUGAAAGCACUUGGGGACUCCUACCUGCAUCUGGGCUUUCUUCAUGUUGGCAUUGACAACGGCCGCCAUGUAGCUGAGAGCUGCUUCACGAGUUUCGCCGUUUAACAAAAUACUAUGUAGAAUCUUGAAAAGUUCUUGCUAAAUUAUUUUCAAAAUGAAAAAA